CGGUGGAUGCCCUGGCAGUCAGAGGCGAUGAAGGACGUGCUAAUCUGCGAUAAGCGUCGGUAAGGUGAUAUGAACCGUUAUAACCGGCGAUUUCCGAAUGGGGAAACCCAGUGUGAUUCGUCACACUAUCAUUAACUGAAUCCAUAGGUUAAUGAGGCGAACCGGGGGAACUGAAACAUCUAAGUACCCCGAGGAAAAGAAAUCAACCGAGAUUCCCCCAGUAGCGGCGAGCGAACGGGGAGCAGCCCAGAGCCUGAAUCAGUGUGUGUGUUAGUGGAAGCGUCUGG
rnacentral:rRNA from 1 species